ACGGGGUGCAGCAGGCGCGAAACCUUUGCAAUGUGCGCAAGCACGACAAGGUUAAUCCGAGUGUUUCCUGCUAAAGGAAUCUUUUGUUAGUCGUAAAACCACUGAUGAAUAAGGGGUGGGCAAGUUCUGGUGUCAGCCGCCGCGGUAAAACCAGCACCUCAAGUGGUCAGGAGGAUUAUUGGGCCUAAAGCAUCCGUAGCCGGCUCUGCAAGUUUUCGGUUAAAUCCAUUUGCUUAACAAAUGGGCUGCCGAAAAUACUACAUAGCUAGGGAGUGGGAGAGGUAGACGGUAUUCGGUAGGAAGGGGUAAAAUCCUUUGAUCUAUUGAGGACCACCUAUGGCGAAGGCAGUCUACCAGAACACGUUCGACGGCGAGGGAUGAAAGCUGGGGGAGCAAACCGGAUUAGAUACCCGGGUAGUCCCAGCUGUAAACGAUGCAGACUCGGUGAUGCACUGGCUUGUGGCCAGUGCAGUGCCGCAGGGAAGCCGUUAAGUUUGCCGCCUGGGAAGUACGUACGCAAGUAUGAAACUUAAAGGAAUUGGCGGGGGAGCAC
rnacentral:rRNA from 2 species